rnacentral:rRNA from 1 species
GACGAACGCUGGCGGCGUGCUUAACACAUGCAGGUCGUACGGGAAUUCUUGGCUUCGGUUGGGGGUUUUAGUGGCGAACGGGUGAGUAACACGUAAGUAACCUGCCCUUCAUCUUUGGGAUAACUCGCGGAAACGUGGGCUAAUACCGAAUAUUCUUUUCCUGCUGCAUGGUGGGGUUUGGAAAGGCUCGGGGGUCUUUAGGGAUUUUGUGGGUUGGUGGGGGAUGGGCUUGCGGCCUAUCAGUUUGUUGGUGGGGUGAUGGCCUACCAAGGCGUGGACGGGUAACCGGCCUGAGAGGGUGUUCGGUCACACUGGGACUGAGAUACGGCCCAGACUCCUACGGGAGGCAGCAGUGGGGAAUUUUGCACAAUGGACGAAAGUCUGAUGCAGUAACG